AGGCAAGAUGUCGGCAUAGCU
rnacentral:miRNA from 2 species